rnacentral:sRNA from 1 species
AUGCGUAAGUGAUUGCAGCGGCAUCCUUUUUCUGAAGCAGGACAACCCGGGCAGGAAAAGAUAUAGCGGAAAGCACGACCCGUU